rnacentral:rRNA from 1 species
GACGAACGCUGGCGGCGUGCUUAACACAUGCAAGUCGAACGGAAAGGCCCUGCUUUUGUGGGGUGCUCGAGUGGCGAACGGGUGAGUAACACGUGAGUAACCUGCCCUUGACUUUGGGAUAACUUCAGGAAACUGGGGCUAAUACCGGAUAGGAGCUCCUGCUGCAUGGUGGGGGUUGGAAAGUUUCGGCGGUUGGGGAUGGACUCGCGGCUUAUCAGCUUGUUGGUGGGGUAGUGGCUUACCAAGGCUUUGACGGGUAGCCGGCCUGAGAGGGUGACCGGCCACAUUGGGACUGAGAUACGGCCCAGACUCCUACGGGAGGCAGCAGUGGGGAAUAUUGCACAAUGGGCGGAAGCCUGAUGCAGCAACGCCGCGUGCGGGAUGACGGCCUUCGGGUUGUAAACCGCUUUCGCCUGUGACGAAGCGUGAGUGACGGUAAUGGGUAAAGAAGCACCGGCUAACUACGUGCCAGCAGCCGCGGUGAUACGUAGGGUGCGAGCGUUGUCCGGAUUUAUUGGGCGUAAAGGGCUCGUAGGUGGUUGAUCGCGUCGGAAGUGUAAUCUUGGGGCUUAACCCUGAGCGUGCUUUCGAUACGGGUUGACUUGAGGAAGGUAGGGGAGAAUGGAAUUCCCGGCGGAGCGGUGGAAUGCGCAGAUAUCAGGAGGAACACCAGUGGCGAAGGCGGUUCUCUGGGCCUUUCCUGACGCUGAGGAGCGAAGGCGUGGGGAGCGAACAGGCUUAGAUACCCUGGUAGUCCACGCUGUAAACGGUGGGUACUAGGUGUGGGGUCCAUUCCACGGGUUCCGUGCCGUAGCUAACGCUUUAAGUACCCCGCCUGGGGAGUACGGCCGCAAGGCUAAAACUCAAAGGAAUUGACGGGGCCCCGCACAAGCGGCGGAGCAUGCGGAUUAAUUCGAUGCAACGCGUAGAACCUUACCCGGGUUUGACAUGGAUCGGGAGUGCUCAGAGAUGGGUGUGCCUCUUUUGGGGUCGGUUCACAGGUGGUGCAUGCCUGUCGUCAGCUCGUGUCGUGAGAUGUUGGGUUAAGUCCCGCAACGAGCGCAACCCUUGUUCACUGUUGCCAGCACGUUAUGGUGGGGACUCAGUGGAGACCGCCGGGGUCAACUCGGAGGAAGGUGGGGAUGACGUCAAGUCCUCAUGCCCCUUAUGUCCAGGGCUUCACGCAUGCUACAAUGGCUGGUACAGAGAGUGGCGAGCCUGUGAGGGUGAGCGAAUCUCGGAAAGCCGGUCUCAGUUCGGAUUGGGGUCUGCAACUCGACCUCAUGAAGUCGGAGUCGCUAGUAAUCACAGAUCAGCAACGCUGCGGUGAGUACGUUCCCGGG